GAUGAACGCUGGCGGCGUGCCUAAUACAUGCAAGUCGAGCGAACGGACGAGAAGCUUGCUUUUCUGAUGUUAGCGGCGGACGGGUGAGUAACACGUGGAUAACCUACCUAUAAGACUGGGAUAACUUCGGGAAACCGGAGCUAAUACCGGAUAAUAUUUUGAACCGCAUGGUUCAAUAGUGAAAGACGGUCUUGCUGUCACUUAUAGAUGGAUCCGCGCUGCAUUAGCUAGUUGGUAAGGUAACGGCUUACCAAGGCAACGAUGCGUAGCCGACCUGAGAGGGUGAUCGGCCACACUGGAACUGAGACACGGUCCAGACUCCUACGGGAGGCAGCAGUAGGGAAUCUUCCGCAAAGGGCGAAAGCCUGACGGAGCAACGCCGCGUGAGUGAUGAAGGUCUUCGGAUCGUAAAACUCUGUUAUUAGGGAAGAACAUAUGUGUAAGUAACUGUGCACAUCUUGACGGUACCUAAUCAGAAAGCCACGGCUAACUACGUG
rnacentral:rRNA from 1 species